GACGAACGCUGGCGGCGCGCCUAACACAUGCAAGUCGAGCGAAGCGGCGAACGGGUGAGUAACGCGUGAGGAACCUGCCUCUCACAACGGGAUAGCCUCGGGAAACCGGGAUUAAUACCGUAUGGUGAGAGAUGGCCUCGCGUUUGAUUAGUUAGUUGGUGGGGUAACGGCCUACCAAGACGACGAUCAGUAACCGGCCUGAGAUGGUGAACGGUGAAAUUGGAACUGAGAAACGGUCCAAACGCUGACGCGGGGCAGCAGUGGGGAAUCUUGCACAAUGGGGGGAACCCUGAUGCAGCGACGCUGCGUGAGCGAUGAAGGUUUUCGAAUCGUAAAGCGCUGUCCUAUGGGAAGCGGUACCAUAGGAGGAAGCCCCGGCUAACUACGUGCCAGCAGCCGCGGUAAUUC
rnacentral:rRNA from 1 species